rnacentral:misc_RNA from 1 species
UCCGGCUUAUCACCGGCAGUUCCUCUAGAGUGCUCAACUAAAUGGUAGCAACUAAAGACGAGGGUUGCGCUCGUUGCGGGACUUAACCCAACAUCUCACGACACGAGCUGACGUCAGCCAUGCAGCACCUGUGUGUAGGUCCCGUAAGGGAAGGAAUCCAUCUCUGGAAACCGUCCUACCAUGUCAAACGCUGGUAAGGUUCUGCGCGUUGCUUCGAAUUAAUCCACAUGCUCCGCCGCUUGUGCGGGCCCCCGUCAAUUUCUUUGAGUUUCAGCCUUGCGACCAUACUCCCCAGGCGGAGCACUUACCAAAUUGUCUCCGACAGACACCGAUAGCUCGGCAUCCAUCUAGUGCUCAUAGUUUACGGCGUGGACUAC